CACGUAGGGGGCGAGCGUUGUCCGGAUUUAUUGGGCGUAAAGAGCUCGUAGGCGGUUCGGCAAGUCGGGUGUGAAAUUUCGAGGCUCAACCUCGAAACGCCACUCGAUACUGCCAUGACUGGAGUCCGGUAGAGGAGUGUGGAAUUCCUGGUGUAGCGGUGAAAUGCGCAGAUAUCAGGAGGAACACCAACGGCGAAGGCAGCACUCUGGGCCGGUACUGACGCUGAGGAGCGAAAGCGUGGGGAGCAAACAGG
rnacentral:rRNA from 1 species